rnacentral:rRNA from 1 species
UACGAGGGGUCCUAGCGUUGUUCGGAAUCAUUGGGCGUAAAGAGUAUGUAGGCGGCCAAAUAAGUCAGGUGUGAAAUCCCCGGGCUCAACCCGGGAAGUGCAUUUGAUACUGUUUGGCUUGAGUAUGGAAGAGGGUAGUGGAAUUCCUGGUGUAGUGGUGAAAUACGUAGAUAUCAGGAGGAAUACCGGUGGCGAAGGCGGCUACCUGGUCCUAUACUGACGCUGAGAUACGAAAGCAUGGGUAGCAAACAGG